GUUCUGGAGGCCAGAAGUCUGAGAUCAAGAUGAAGCAAUCCUGCUUCCUGCUUCCUUCUGUGGAUGGUGGCCUUCUCCGACUCUUCACGUGGGCCAGGCCCUAACCUCCUCUUCUUAUUAACACCUGUCAGGCAUCCAUGGCUCUGAGUGACGCGCCUCCUGCCCCACUUGUCCCACCCAAGGACAGCAAGGACUCUGCACUGACCUGCCUGGGCUCACAUCAUGCUCCUGCCACCCCCGAGCCACGUAACUCUAGGAGCGUUGUUUCCCCUUGUGGGCCACCAUACCUACGAUGCGGGGACAACAGCAAUCGUGCCUCGGCCAUGCAGGUGUCCUGCUCAGUCUCUCUUAAAGGGCUGCCACACGGAGCACUGCUGAGUGACCGCCUCCAGCAGCAGCCCCCACCUGGGGAUCUGGCCGAGCUUCACCCAGAAGCCAGGAUGUUAGGCACUGGAGCCGCCGCUCCUGCCUGACCCCCGCUUCCCCACAGGCAGGCUGACCCCUGGGGCUUUCCACCGAGUGUGGCCCAGUUGUCUCCCGGUUGCACUGCAGCCCGAGGCUCUCCCUCCUCAUCCUCCCUCCUCCCUUCUCCUUUCACGGGUGCCAACCCCACACCCAGAUCGAAGGCUCUCCCUGCCAGUUCCUGCUCCUACUUCCUUCCCCUCAUCCUCCACAGGCACUGCCCCCCGAGCCUCUUGCACGUCUAACCCCUUCUUGGCAUCUGCUCUCUGAAGAUGAGAACUGGCCCGGGUAGCUGUCUCAUAGGUUGUUCAAGGGUUAAACGCAUUAACACACACAGAAACCUUAGAAAGGUGCCUGGAACAGAGUAGGUAUCUGAGUCCCAACACCACGUAGCUCCUUUCUAAGGGCCAUUCUUGGGGACUGUAUCUGCCCUGUCCACAGAUUUCUGCGUAUUCUUUUGUGGACCAGGCUUUCUUAAGUUUCCGAAGUGUGCUAUGCUUCCUGUGAUCACAGGGCCUUUGCACCCACCACUGCCUUUGUUCCUUUACUGUGAGCCCUCUAACCCCUCUUUCCUGUUAGCUCAGAUGUCACUUCCUCAGGGAAGCCUACCUGAGCUCCUUUAUAUGUUUUCCCUACACUAUGUGCCUCUCCUUCAAAGAAUUUUUCAAGGUUUAUCCA